AGGACGACGCUGGCGGCGUGCCUAACACAUGCAAGUCGAGCGGGGUCCAUCCGGUAGCAAUACCGGGGAAGACCUAGCGGCGAACGGGCGAGUAACACGUGAGAAACCUGCCCCGAAGUCUGGGAUAACCCGAGGAAACUCGAGCUAAUACCGGAUGUCUUCUUCUGAUCGCAUGGUCGGAUGAAGAAAGAUUUAUCGCUUCGGGAGGGUCUCGCGGCCUAUCAGCUAGUUGCGGGGUAACGGCCCACCAAGGCGUCGACGGGUAGCUGGUCUGAGAGGACGAUCAGCCACACUGGGACUGAGACACGGCCCAGACUCCUACGGGAGGCAGCAGUGGGGAAUAUUGCGCAAUGGGCGAAAGCCUGACGCAGCAACGCCGCGUGCGGGAUGAAGGCCUUCGGGUUGUAAACCGCUUUCAGUGGGGACGAAUUCAGACGGUACCCACAGAAGAAGCCCCGGCCAACUACGUG
rnacentral:rRNA from 1 species